rnacentral:rRNA from 1 species
CCUGGUUGAUCCUGCCAGUAGUCAUAUGCUUGUCUCAAAGAUUAAGCCAUGCAUGUCUAAGUGCAAGCCAAAUUAAGGUGAAACCGCGGAAGGCUCAUUAUAUCAGUUAUGGUUCAAUAGAUCGUACUCAGUUACUUGGAUAACUGCGGAAAUACUGGAGCUAAUACAUGCCAACAGAGUCCCGACCGGAGACGGAAGGGACGCUUUUAUUAGAUCAAAACCAAUCGGUGGUUUCGGCCAUCGUGCAGUCUGGUGACUCUGAAUAACUUUGGGCUGAUCGCACGGCCUUCGUGCCGGCGACGCAUCUUUCAAAUGUCUGCCUUAUCAACUGUCGAUGGUAGGUUCUGCGCCUACCAUGGUUGUAACGGGUAACGGGGAAUCAGGGUUCGAUUCCGGAGAGGGAGCCUGAGAAACGGCUACCACAUCCAAGGAAGGCAGCAGGCGCGCAAAUUACCCACUCCCGGCUCGGGGAGGUAGUGACGAAAGAUAACGAUACGGGACUCAUCCGAGGCCCCGUAAUCGGAAUGACUACACUUUAAAUCCUUUAAGGAGUAUCAAUUGGAGGGCAAGUCUGGUGCCAGCAGCCGCGGUAAUUCCAGCUCCAAUAGCGUAUAUUAAAGUUGUUGCGGUUAAAAAGCUCGUAGUUGGAUCUGUGUCCCGCACCGUCGGUUCACCGCCCGACGGUGUCAAACUGACGCGAUGCGGGACGUCCUGCCGGUGGCGUGCAGCUGCGCGGCCUUUCGGGGACGCGUGGGCGGCGCCGAUUCAAUCCCGUCGCGGUGCUCUUCAUUGAGUGUCGAGGUGGGCCGGCACGUUUACUUUGAACAAAUUAGAGUGCUUCAAGCAGGCUGGAUAUUGCCUGAAUGCUAGUGCAUGGAAUAAUGGAAUAGGACCUCGGUUCUAUUUUGUUGGUUUUCGGAACCAGAGGUAAUGAUUAAUGGAGACAGGCGGGGGCAUUCGUAUUGCGACGUUAGAGGUGAAAUUCUUGGAUCGUCGCAAGACGGACCGAAGCGAAAGCAUUUGCCAAGGAUGUUCUCGUUGAUCAAGAACGAAAGUUAGAGGUUCGAAGGCGAUCAGAUACCGCCCUAGUUCUAACCAUAAACGAUGCCAGCUAGCGAUCUGCCAAAGUUCCUUUGAUGACUUGGCAGGCAGCUUCCGGGAAACCAAAGCUUUUGGGUUCCGGGGGAAGUAUGGUUGCAAAGC